GGGCCCGCGGCGCAUUAGUUAGUUGGUGAGGUAACGGCUCACCAAGGCGACGAUGCGUAGCCGACCUGAGAGGGUGAUCGGCCACACUGGGACUGAGACACGGCCCAGACUCCUACGGGAGGCAGCAGUAGGGAAUCAUCCGCAAUGGACGCAAGUCUGACGGUGCAACGCCGCGUGAGCGAUGAAGGUCUUCGGAUCGUAAAGCUCUGUUGUGAGGGAAGAACAAGUGCCGUUCGAAUAGGGCGGCACCUUGACGGUACCUCACCAGAAAGCCCCGGCUAACUACGUGCCAGCAGCCGCGGUAAUACGUAGGGGGCAAGCGUUGUCCGGAAUUAUUGGGCGUAAAGCGCGCGCAGGCGGUUCCUUAAGUCUGAUGUGAAAGGCCACAGCUCAACUGUGGAGGGCCAUUGGAAACUGGGGAACUUGAGGACAGAAGAGGAGAGCGGAAUUCCACGUGUAGCGGUGAAAUGCGUAGAUAUGUGGAGGAACACCAGUGGCGAAGGCGGCUCUCUGGUCUGUAACUGACGCUGAGGCGCGAAAGCAUGGGUAGCGAACAGGAUUAGAUACCCUGGUAGUCCAUGCCGUAAACGUUGAGUGCUAGGUGUUAGGGGGUCCAACCCUUAGUGCUGCAGUUAACGCAAUAAGCACUCCGCCUGGGGAGUACGGCCGCAAGGCUGAAACUCAAGGAAUUGACGGGGGCCUGCACAAGCGGUGGAGCAUGUGGUUUAUUCGACGCAACGCGAAGAACCUUACCAGGUCUUGACAUCUUCGGACAGCCAAGAGAUUGGGUCUUCCCUUCGGGA
rnacentral:rRNA from 1 species